rnacentral:other from 1 species
AAACCUCUGCCUUGUUUGUUACGCCAGCUACAAUUGAGGAACCUAAUGUCCAUUUUUUUGGGAAGCCGUAACUUAUGCUACCUGACGAACCUGCUUGACAGGGUUUCAGGAGUAUAAGCUUAGGUUACCCACCUUGAAGUAACUGGUUACUUCAACAGCUUGGGAUUGGACGGCAAUGGUGGAGGUUUA